rnacentral:lncRNA from 1 species
UCCGAGUCGGUAAGGUGGAUCGUCUACCCUAUAGAUGCAUGUCGCAUUGCUGCAUCACAAAUCUAAAUUGGUCCAAAUUGACAAUCCAAAAAAGUAAAAAAGUAAAAAGUAAUAAAAAGAAAACUAGACUAUUCUUUUACUUUUUUAUAAAAAAAACUUUAUAAGAUUUUAAGGGGGGACCAAGGCUGUGUCAAUACUUUCCUAGAACUGAUUUGCUCACAGGCAAUUCGCAAUCGGGAUCGGUGAUUUCCAAUCCAAAUCCAUGGUUUUCGAGACACAGACACUUCAUAUUGGCAACAACAAACGAAAUUUUACAAUAGCACGUACAGGGCAAGUGGAAAUAAUACGAGAGGGAGAGAGGAGGUGGGGGGAGGUUAAUGAACCGGGAGGACUUAAAAAAACUAUGGGAAAUAAAAUAAUGAUAUCAGUUGAUGGCAGGAAAGAUGCCCAAAUGACUUAUGGGAAAUGGUGACGAAGGUGACCACCGACUUUUGGUUGCGGUUCUCCCCUAAAUCAUUGGCCUCAAGUUUGCUAGCUAUGGGCUUUAACCCUAUUUUUCAAUGCAUUUUAUUGUAGAUAUACCAAAUCAUAUCAUCGGAAAAUUCACGAAAUUAAAUUGAAUUGUGAAAGAAAUUGAAUUAAAUUCUCUCUCUCUCUCUUUCUCUCUCUCUCCAGCAGAUCAGAAUUUUUUUUUAAAAUGGGCUACAAUUAGCAGCAUUUUGUAUUUCAAAUACACAUUCCAACAAAAUAUAUCCAUCUUAGACAUCUUCCUUGUCUCUUACAAGAUAUAAUAAUUUUUUUUUAGAUUAAAGCAGUAAAAAUUUCAUUGAACUUCCAAAUCAAGGUUCAUCUUGGAACACUGGAAAGAAAUUGCACUGGGAACUGGUUCAUACUGGUUGAUCCAAUCAAAAGGAAAAGAAAAAACAAACAAUUCUAGAAUUAUAUCUUUUCCAUCUAUAGUCCAGACCACACGUAGUAAUUGUCAUAAAGUCUACAAAAUUUAAUUUAAAAGCGUACCAUUUUAGACAUGAUUUGAACGAUCUCCUAUUCUUAUGAACUGUAGAAAUUCAAAAAAAUUAAUUAUAAGACAAUUAGAAAAAAAAAAUACAUAGUGCAUGCACACCACACAAAAUAGCAAAAAGUGACAAGUUUCCUCCCCUUUGAUUAAAAAUUAAAUAGAUGAAUAAACUAAAUGUGAAAAUAUUUGUAUAUAAUUAAAGGAAAAAAAAAAGUACCCAACUGGUCGGUGAGACAAGUUUCCAUCCCCACCCACCUUCCUGUCUGGUCCUAAUAACCUUGGAUAUAGACCGCAAAAAAAUGAAAAAAAAAAAAUAAAGGAAAAAAAAUCCACAGUAAUUGCCCAUGGUUAUUGGAAAUCAGAAUAGGAAAAAAAAAAAAUGAAGGAAGAAGAAGAAGAAGACAAUUUAUAUUUUGACUUGUAGAAAAAUGAAAAACAUCAAAAAUUGUCCAGCACUUAUCCAUAGCAAGAACAAGAAAGAAAGGAAAAAGAAGAAAUCAAAGAGGGAGAAUUAACGUUAUUAAUAUCCAAAAUACAUCUUGACGCCUACCGCAAUUAUCAAGAGGGCAUAAAUGCCAAAGAAGAUGAGUGCAUGGAUGAGUAUAGCAGGUGCAUUUGUACGCAGACUCCCAAACUCCACCCCUCGAUGCUCUCCUGGCAACUGAAAUAACAGUCCCGGCGUAAGCAACACAAACAAUACCACCCCAACUAUCACAGGUGCCCAAUCCGCUGCCAUCUCUCGAUUGAUUGAUCGAGAAUUAUAUCUUUGAACCUAGAUCUUGGGACAAUUGGCGAAUUAUGAUUCCUUUUCCCUUGAUUUCAUGAAGCACGAAAGAAGAACAAGUUCAUGAACCAGAGAACCAAGGUUUGGUUUAGUGAGGAAGCAGGAAAAGAGACUGGGUCUAUCCUCAAAAGCAUGAACACACCAACAAAGCCUCAAAUAGCAAAAGACAAAAUGAAAAAGCCUUGACAAAAGGGUCAAUUAUUGUUAUAGU